rnacentral:sRNA from 12 species
AGCCUAACCCCCAUGGUUUGUGGGGCAUGGCAUAAAAUACGGUUCAGGCCAUCAAGCUCUCAGUCAGAGCACCUGAACCGUCAUAUUCCGAAAGGGGUAUGGGUAGCCGAGAGGCUAUC